rnacentral:lncRNA from 1 species
AGUUGUCUGUCAGUUGUUUCUGAUUUGUCAUUUUCUAGCUCAUGUCUGUCACAGGCCAUCCUUCUCAACACAUAAUCCUCAAGUAGGGGUGUAGACAUUCCUGUUUUGUUAGACUAAGCAGGGUGGAGUAAAUCUAAAAUUCACAGAAUGAGUCAUCAUAUAAAUAAUACAUGUUGUCAUUUGCCUCCAUGGCCAUUGUUUAAUCAACAAAAAGCACAAACCUCCACCUCUUAACCAAAGACCAACAAUAAUAAGAAGCUGUCUUUAAUCGGAUGAUAUCCCAUCUUUUAGCCUAUGACAGUUCAUACACCCAACAGGAAUAAACAAUUUAUAGGAUGGUCAAAAUGGAGCUCUACUCUUCAAAUGAAAAAGAAAUAAUAAAACACAUCAGGAACAGCGGACCUCAGACCCAGCAUUUCUCUCCUUGUCUUGGAAUGUUAUUUCCAUAUAGAAAGCUACUCUAAUGGGACACUUGUAAAUGGCAGGGAAUUUAGCCCUUACGGAGUCCUCUCCAGAAAUUGGAUUUUUGCUUAAGCAAACAGCAAACCAUGCAGCAGGGGAAAAGCUAUUUAUUUGGCUGCCUGUUGAAGAGCUGUACAAAAAUACAAUUCAGUCUGCUAUGAUGGUCAAGUCAAUCGGCAUGUGUUGAAAAACAAAAUCCAGUCUCUUCAAUGAGGUUCUAGGAACAUUAUUGAAUUGACAAGGAAAUGAAGAAAAUACAGCUCACUUGAUCCUAUCUAUAUGGCCAUCUCAGUCCUCUAAAAGAAACACCUGAAAAGAAGCAAGAUCUGAUAUGACAUGUAUAGCUGCCAAAUGCCAGACAAGAUGCACCUACGCCUUCCCAUUGACAGAUAUGUGGCUAAUAUUGCCUUCUGGGAAAAUCAUGGGUUACCCAGAAACUUGAGUGAAGCAUCACCAUGUGUGAAUAACAGCAAAGAGCUUCCAACAGAGGAACUCAGCACAUAUUAUCAAUUGGGGAGCCACUGAUCCUAGCAGCAGAAGAAUUAAUUACUGGAAUCCUUGUGCCUAUCACUAUUUUGCAUGCUUAAAUAAAACAGGAUUGGGUUCAUUUUAUUUUGUCA